rnacentral:misc_RNA from 1 species
CGCACAUUGCGCCCAUUAGUAUUCUGAUGGGCAUGCCUGUUCGAGCGUCAUUUCAAUCCCUUAAGCCCUGCUGCUUAGUGUUAGGGACCGCUAUAAUAGCGCCCCCCAAAGAUAUUGGCGGAGUCGUUUAGGGCUCUCAGCGUAGUAAUUCUUCUCGCUUUAGAGUACUGACGGCGCUUGCCACAACACAUACAUUUCAAGUUUGACCUCGGAUCAGGUAGGAAUACCCGCUGAACUUAA